UGCCUAAACCCGUCAGCUUGCUGAUUGGCAUGGCAUAAAUCCAUCCAAGGUAUAGAACCCGUCGUCAGGGAUCCUUGGAUGGUCGUGUGGGGAAACUCAUACGUUGAGACCGAAAGGUUUC
rnacentral:sRNA from 1 species